AGUGAAUAGAUACCCGGGUAGUCCGAGCCGUAAACGAUGGAUACUAGGUGUCGGGGGUAUCGACCCCCCGGUGCCGUAGCUAAACGCGUUAAAGUAUCCCGCCUGGGGAGUACGGUCGCAAGACUGAAACUCAAAGGAAUUGACGGGGCCCGCACAAGCGGUGGAGCAUGUGGUUUAAUUCGAUGCAACGCGAAGAACCUUACCAAGGUUUGACAUCCCGUGAAUCUGGUGGAAACACCGGAGUGCCGCAAGGAGCACGGUGACAGGUGGUGCAUGGCUGUCGUCAGCUCGUGUCGUGAGAUGUUGGGUUAAGUCCCGCAACGAGCGCAACCCUCGAUGCUAGUUGCCAACGGGGUAAAGCCGGGCACUCUAGCGUGACUGCCGGUGACAAACCGGAGGAAGGUGGGGAUGACGUCAAGUCAUCAUGCCCCUUAUGCCUUGGGCUACACACGUGCUACAAUGGCCGGGACAAUAGGAAGCAAUGCCGCGAGGUGGAGCCAAUCCCAAAACCCGGUCUCAGUUCGGAUUGCAGGCUGCAACUCG
rnacentral:rRNA from 1 species